GAUGAACGCUGGCGGCGUGCCUAAUACAUGCAAGUCGAGCGAACAGACGAGGAGCUUGCUCCUUUGACGUUAGCGGCGGACGGGUGAGUAACACGUAGGUAACCUACCUAUAAGACUGGGAUAACUUCGGGAAACCGGAGCUAAUACCGGAUAAUAUUUCGAACCGCAUGGUUCGAUAGUGAAAGAUGGCUUUGCUAUCGCUUAUAGAUGGACCUGCGCCGUAUUAGCUAGUUGGUAAGGUAACGGCUUACCAAGGCAACGAUACGUAGCCGACCUGAGAGGGUGAUCGGCCACACUGGAACUGAGACACGGUCCAGACUCCUACGGGAGGCAGCAGUAGGGAAUCUUCCGCAAUGGGCGAAAGCCUGACGGAGCAACGCCGCGUGAGUGAUGAAGGUCUUCGGAUCGUAAAACUCUGUUAUUAGGGAAGAACAAACGUGUAAGUAACUGUGCACGUCUUGACGGUACCUAAUCAGAAAGCCACGGCUAACUACGUG
rnacentral:rRNA from 1 species